UACGUAGGGUGCGAGCGUUGUCCGGAAUUAUUGGGCGUAAAGAGCUUGUAGGCGGUCUGUCGCGUCUGCUGUGAAAAUCCGGGGCUCAACCCCGGACUUGCAGUGGGUACGGGCAGACUAGAGUGUGGUAGGGGAGACUGGAAUUCCUGGUGUAGCGGUGAAAUGCGCAGAUAUCAGGAGGAACACCGAUGGCGAAGGCAGGUCUCUGGGCCACUACUGACGCUGAGAAGUGAAAGCAUGGGGAGCGAACAGG
rnacentral:rRNA from 1 species